AGAGAAUUAGUAUAAGAAGUAUGCUUCGUUUACAUCGAAGGGGUGCCCCGGGUAGAGGGUAUUUUCUA
rnacentral:tRNA from 1 species